rnacentral:rRNA from 1 species
UACAGAGGUCUCAAGCGUUGUUCGGAUUCAUUGGGCGUAAAGGGCGCGUAGGCGGUCCGAUAAGUCCCGUGUGAAAUCCCUCGGCUCAACUGAGGAAUGGCACGGGAAACUGACGGGCUUGAGUUCGGGAGAGGGAAGCGGAAUUCCGGGUGUAGCGGUGAAAUGCGUAGAUAUCCGGAGGAACACCGGUGGCGAAGGCGGCUUCCUGGACCGACACUGACGCUGAGGCGCGAAAGCUAGGGGAGCAAACGGG